UCUUCCUGUUUCUCUCCCUCUCUCUCCUUUUGCCAACUACAUGAUCCUUGAUUAAAAAUGGAACAGGGUUUUAAAAACAAAAACAAAACCAGGAGAGCGAAAUGGAGCAGAGGAAAUGCAACUGUCAGAAAACGGGAUGGUCAGACUUCCUGGGUGAACCUGCUUGUGUCUGACUCAGUGUAAAUCCACCAUCUUCAGCCUGGCAAGUUGUCUUUUGGUUGUUUUUUUGGGGGUGGGGGGGGAAGGGGGGUGUUCUGCUUGCGAUCUGAGCCUUGGUACCUAAGGAGGAAGAGGAGGAGGAGGAGGGUGUGUUACUGAAUGGGAGCUAAAGCCUCCUCGGGACGGAGCUGAGGUGAAACAGGCUGAACCCGACUGAUGUGCCUCCCCUCUCGGCUGGACCCAGUGCCCCAAGCAGCCGAUGAGAGACCCUCGGCCGCCCGCCUCGCAGGUAUCUUCUUUCCUAGGUAUCCAGGAUGGGCUUAUUAAUUGUGAAUUAUUCGGUAGAAGAUCCUUCUAAAAUAUCCAGUAAUUUAUUUACUGGAAUAUAGCAGGAUGUGUACUUGAAGGCCUCUUUUGCCUCUUUAAUCACAUGAAGAAACCUUGCAACUCUUACUACCAACUAAAUGCUUUGCACAGUACUCAACAAAACAGAAGCAGCCUCUAGCAUUAGACAGUGUACAGAAACCAGUUGGCUAGCUACAAUUGGGAGAUACCUUUCUUAACAGAAGUUACUCAUGAUUCUGCUCUUGGCUACUGGCAUUUCUAUUGCCCCAAAACAUCUACUUCCACAUCUUCUGCCGUGAAGCUUUGAAUAAACCAUACUCUUCAUUUUCACAUGUGAAGAGAAAAAUUUACUUACAUGUCUAAAUGGCAGAACCUGCCAGUGCAGAAGGUCAUAUAAUGCUACCUAUUAAACCAUCAAACUCUUCACAUGCUUUGAAAAGAAAACAGACAUGGGUUUUGGAAAAGGAUCUUAUACUGCAUCAUCAUUCUGGUAUCCUACCAAAGGAACACACAGAAUAGGAUGUUCUUUCCACUGGUCACAAUAAAUGAUUGCUUACAGGGACCGACAAAGACUUCAUGACCACUAUCUGACCCACUUAUAAAUUAUUAUAAACUGGUGGGGAAGUUUAUCUACUAAUCAUCUAGAUUUGAGAGUUUCUUUUCCUAUUUAAAGAAAACUAUCAUGGUAUUGUAUGGGAAACUAAUCGUCACAGUUUUUAUAGGACUCUAAGCACAAUUCAGUAUUUUUCAGUACUCUUUUUGGUACUGACUCAAGAAAGUGGUUGAGCAUGUGCUUAAUUAUACACAUGUGCUUAACUUUAAGUCCUUUCCUGAAUAGGGAUGUUUUUCUGAAUAUGGCCCUUGAAUAUGCAGCAACAGUUAGCACCCGUUCCCAGAAAUGUGUUGUCAUCAGCAAAAAUGUUGGUGCACAAAUAAAGACCUCUUGUGCACCAAGACGUAUAGAUCUUGAUGUUAAUGGGGGGAAAUAGUGAAUAUUUUUCAUUAACAAUGGAAGUAAUGGGGAAUCAAGGUCAUCUAGUAGAAAUGAACAGCAGCAGUACGGGAGGAAUUUAUUUUCAAAGUUUCAAGAGAGACAAGCAAAUAGGAUCAACACAAAAUAAAAUUUAUAAGAAAUUGUUUGAUAUUUUUCUUCAAAAAAUGGAAACAAAACAAUAUUAGUGUUUGAUAUUGGAGAAAAUCCUACUUUUGGGGGGCAGGAGUAGGAUGUUGUAUGGCAUAAUGUUUAGGAAAGCACUGAAGCAAAAAAAUUGGGGAUCUCUUCCCAACUGCCACUAACUCUGCAACCUUGUGCAUGUCAUUUAAUCUUUUUUUGUUAGUUGCCCUACUUGUAAAGAGAUAAUAAUACCCACUUCUGUCAAGUAUUCUGAGAUUUUUAGAUAAAUAGAACUAUGUAAGUGCAAAGCAUUUUUAAAGUAUUGUUUUCAUAAUACAAUGAUAAAAGUGGUUCAUAGUGUACUUAAAAAGAUUGCCCGUUAGGCUUAAUGCUCCUGAGAUAAGAGACAGCUUGGGCUAUACACCAUGAAAGUAUCAGCUUCUUAAUUUAAAGGUGUGUGUUUGUGUGGGUGGGCAGCUUUAACUUGGCUGCUACUUUUAAUGUUUAAUGGCCCAAUUCUGCCAUCAAAUGUGAAAUAUGCAUAUUGAUGAAAAGUGAUGGAAGUGAGAUGCUGUGAUCUGCAAUGUUUAUUUCAGGAUCUGCAGUAUUCUGCCAUCUUCUCAAAAUAUGCUUAGCUUUAGCUCUGCAUCUGUUCCACAUUUCAGCUGUUAGAACUCCACAAAAGGCCCUUUUAUGCCCCCAAACUCAAGCUGGUUGUAUACUAGCAUCUAAAGAGCCCUUAAUUUAAGACAGUUUCAGGAGGCUUAUCAUACCGUCUCAUGCAAAGAAACAAACAUAUCAAAGAGUUGUACUAAAGGGUGUGGCCCAGUUUCAUCACCACAGUCAUGAGGAGAUUAUCUUGGAAAGAUAAGUCUGGUGCUGUUUUAUAUUUCUGAAUGAGUCCAUACUGGUGGGGAAGUCCCCUUCCAAAGAGUAUCUGAGGCCAGAAUAGCUAUGAAGAGUCCCUAGUAGGGUCGUUCCAGUUGAGCCUCAUGGCAAGAGCAUGGGGAUGUGUAGUGGGAUCCCUUGGAACAGACAGCUGGUGCAGAGACAUAGGGCCUUAGUAUGGAUGGCUCUGGUCUGGUGCUCAUCCCCUGGGAUCUGUAGCAUGCCACACGUAUGUUGGUCCCAUGGCUGUUCUAUGCGGGGCUUGGGGAGUGGGGAAUCCUGACCCUAAUGGAAUGAUUUGAGAGGAACUCUGAGUAAAAUCUCCUAGAGUUUUCUUAACCAUCCCUUCUUCCAGUAGAUUAUAUGGAAUAAUGCAGCCCAUAGUCAGGUGAAAGAGAAGGGCUGAAUCAUUCCCUUAAAGCACAAAUAGGCAGAUGAUCUUAGUCAGGAAGAAAAGGUUGCAGUGAAUGCCCAACAUUUCCAAACAUGGUAAAAAGGAAGAGUUGUAUCCUGGUUGGGAGAAGCAGCCAUAGAUAGGUAGGUACAAAAAGCAGCAGCCAGCUAGAUACCCUGACAUGAGUGUAUAGAGAAAUGGUAGCAGUUUGGUCCAGAUGUGCGGAUAAUGUGCUUAUAAUUAGUAUAAUGAGACAGAGACAAUCCAGAUGUAGCUAAUUCUGCUGUAAUGUAUAUAGAUGCUGCAAGGGCCAUAGUGGCCAUUAGGAGCCAGAAGCAAACCCUUAGAUUUCCUUUUUGGCAGGAGCACAUGGGCUGCAUAAGUUGGCAACAUCAACUGCACAUUGCCUCCGUUAGACUGGCUAAUACUGAAAAUUGGCAUGUGUGUAUUACAGAGUUUGCAAGCAGCAGCACAUCAUACAGUGGGCUCCAAUGCUAUCAUACUUUACUCUUUCCCAUAGGUAGGAUGCGGACAUAAAACAACCAUCGGUUGCUUUAGCUUAUUUCACCUUUGAGACCUCUCUGGUCUGUGUUACUGGAGAGAUGAUGUUGUACGGGCCCCUAUCAUGUGCACUCCCUUUUCUUCCCACCUACUUUUGGCUUGACUAUACCUAUCUCUCCAAUCAUUCACAUAUUAGUGCAGUACCUUUUGCCAUCCUUAUACCCCAGGCCUGUUGCUGUAAGACAGGGAAGAUGGGGUACCCAGCAUUUUCUGCACUUUAUUACCAUUUUCACCUUAACUAGCAGGCUUUUCUCCUGCUGGGUGCUGUGCAGCCGGGGGAUGAUCAGCCACCUGGAGUGUAAAUUAAUUGUGACCUUAGGUGAAGUAAUUUACUCUCUGCAGCUUUCUCAUAUGUGUAACCAAAUAGAGAGCUGGCUGGCCACACUUAGUCUACUAUAAAGAUCGUGUUAUGCUGAAGAACAGAUAGAAUCAUAAUCAAAAAGGUUGACAAAGGAGGUGCUGUCGUCAUUAUGAAUAGGUCAGAAUAUGAACAAGAGGCUGCUAGGCAGCUCUCCAACACCACUUUCUACAAGCCAUUACCCUCUGAUCCCACUGAGGGUUACCAAAAGAAAGUACACCAUUUGCUCAAGAAACUCCCUGAAAAAGCACAAGAACAAAUCUGCACAGACACAUCCCUGGAACCCCGACCUGGGGUAUUCUAUCUGCUACCCAAGAUCCAUAAACCUGGAAAUUCUGGAUGCCCCAUCAUCUCAGGUAUUGGCACCCUGACAGCAGGAUUGUCUGGCAAUGUAGACUCCCUCCUCAGGCCCUACACUACCAGCUCUCCCAGCUAUCUUCGAGACACCACUGACUUCCUGAGGAAACUACAAUCCAUUGGUGAUCUUCCUGAAAACACCAUCCUGGCCACUAUGUAUGUAGAAGCCCUCUACACCAAUAUUCCACACAAAGAUGGACUACAAGCCGUCAGGAACAGUAUCCCCGAUAAUGUCACAGCAAACCUGGUGGCUGAACUUUGUGAUUUUGUCCUCACCCAUAACUAUUUCACAUUUGGGGACAAUGUAUACCUUCAAAUCAACGGCACUGCUAUGGGUACCUGCAUGGCCCCACAGUAUGCCAACAUUUUUAUGGCUGACUUAGAACAAUGCUUCCCCAGCUCUCGACCCCUAAUGCUCCUCCUCUACUUGCACUACAUUGAUGACAUCUUCAUCAUCUGGACCCAUGGAAAAGAAGCCCUUGAGGAAUUCCACCAUGAUUUCAACAAUUUCCAUCCCACCAUCAACCUCAGCCUGGACCAGUCCACACAAAAGAUCCACUUCCUGGACACCACAGUGCUAAUAAGUGAUGGUCACAAACACCACCCUAUACCAGAAACCUACUGACUGCUAUUCUUACCUACGUGCCUCCAGCUUUCAUCCAGACCACACCACACAAUCCAUUGUCUACAGCCAAGCUCUACGAUACAACUGCAUUUGCUCCAACCCCUCAGACAGAGACAAACACCUACAAGAUCUCUAUCAAGCAUUCUUACAACUACAAUACCCAGCUGCUGAAGUGAAGAAACAGAUUGACAGAGCCAGAAGAGUACCCAGAAGUCACCUACUACAGCACAGGCCCAACAAAGAAAAUAACGGAACGCCACUAGCCAUCACCUUCAGCCCCCAACUAAAACCUCUCCAACGUAUCAUCAAGGAUCUACAACCUAUCCUGAAGGACGACCCAUCACUCUCACAGAUCUUGGGAGACAGGCCAGUCCUUGCUUACAAACAGCCCCGCAACCUAAAGCAAAUACUCACCAGCACCACACAACAGAACCACUAACCCAGGAACCUAUCCUUGCAACAAAGCCCAUUGCCAACUGUGUCCACAUAUGUAUUCAGGGGACACCAUCAUAGAGCCUAAUCACAUCAGCCAUACUGUCAGAGGCUCAUUCACUGCACAUCUACCAAUGUGAUAUAUGCCAUCAUGUGCCAGCAAUGCCCCUCUGCCAUGUACAUUGGUCAAACUGGACAGUCGCUACGUAAAAGAAUAAAUGGACACAAAUCAGACGUCAAGAAUUAUAACAUUCAAAAACCAGUCGGAGAACACUUCAGUCUCUUUGGUCACUCGAUUACAGACCUAAAAGUUGCAAUUCUUCAGCAAAAAAACUUCAAAAACAGACUCCAACGAGAGACUGCUGAAUUGGAAUUAAUUUGCAAACUGGAUACAAUUAACUUAGGCUUGAAUAGAGACUGGGAAUGGAUGGGUCAUUACGCAAAGUAAAACUAUUUCCCCAUGUUUAUUUCCCCCCCCCUCCCCCCCCCCACUAUUCCUCAGACGUUCUUGUCAACUGCUGGAAAUGGCCCACCUUGAUUAUCACUACAAAAGUUUUUUCCCCGCCCCGCUCUUCUGCUGGUAAUAGCUUACCUUACUCUCCUUACAGUGUGUAUGGUAACACCCAUUGUUUCAUGUUCUCUUGUAUAUAAAUCUCCCCACUGUAUUUUCCACUGAAUGCAUCCGAUGAAGUGAGCUGUAGCUCAGAAAAGCUUAUGCUCAAAUAAAUUGGUUAGUCUCUAAGAUGCCACAAGUACUCCUUUUCUUUUUGCGAAUACAGACUAACACGGCUGCCACUCUGAAACCUGAGAUAAGUUUAUGUGAAUGAAAAAUAUCUGCAGUUAGACAUUUUUCUUUCGUUAUGCAAUAUAUUCAAGACAGCAGAUGGCCCACAGUGAGAGAAACUUAUAUAUAACUAAUAGAAGAAUGAAAGUCAGACCCACAAUCUGUCGAGAAUGUAAUCUGUGGUAUAUCAUUCUCCUUUUCUUUCUUCUGUGCUCACUUCUGGAUUUAUGAAAAUCCUCUCCUCUCACCUACCCAGUAGUAGUAGGACAUCCCGCAGUUAUAUGAAAAUCUGUAAUGCAGGUUGACAAUGUCACUAACUAAAUUUGCAAAGCUACAUACUUCUACUUUUAUAUUUAACUGUCUUUAUUUUGCCAUUUCAAAACAGUCUCCUAAGAAAUGUUGCAGUUCAUUUUCCAAAAUUUAGAGGAGAUCCGUUUCAUACAGACGUCCCUACUGUGAAGAGUAUCGGGGAAUUCCUCUUUAAAUUACUGAGGAUCAGCCCUGGCAUGUUUACAACAUUGGUUCCAAGUACCACAUGCACUUUCUUCAAGUGUUUUAAUGUACUGUACUAACAGUAUAAUUGUAUUGUGGAUAAUAUAUAUAGAUAAUUUGCUAUGUUAGAUCAAAUAUGUAAUAUUCGAUAGAACUUCUUAACUACCUUAUUAGUUUAACUUCUGCACAUUGGCAGAUGUCUCCUCUCUUCAUCUCUUACUGUAAAGCUAGGAAGCACUGCAUCUGUGGUGUUGGUGUGGUAAUGCCUGAGGAAAAGUCAGUGUUGUUUAAGGGAAUUUAAAAGUGUAUGUUGAAAGGAUUUGAGUUUCUUUAAAAGGAAGAGUUGGAGGGUUUUGAAAUUAAAAAAAAAGUUUAAACUUUU